ACACGGCGGGUGCUAACGUCCGUCGUGAAGAGGGAAACAACCCAGACCGCCAGCUAAGGUCCCAAAGUCAUGGUUAAGUGGGAAACGAUGUGGGAAGGCCCAGACAGCCAGGAUGUUGGCUUAGAAGCAGCCAUCAUUUAAAGAAAGCGUAAUAGCUCACUGGUCGAGUCGGCCUGCGCGGAAGAUGUAACGGGGCUAAACCAUGCACCGAAGCUGCGGCAGCGACGCUUAUGCGUUGUUGGGUAGGGGAGCGUUCUGUAAGCCUGUGAAGGUGUGCUGUGAGGCAUGCUGGAGGUAUCAGAAGUGCGAAUGCUGACAUAAGUAACGAUAAAGCGGGUGAAAAGCCCGCUCGCCGGAAGACCAAGGGUUCCUGUCCAACGUUAAUCGGGGCAGGGUGAGUCGACCCCUAAGGCGAGGCCGAAAGGCGUAGUCGAUGGGAAACAGGUUAAUAUUCCUGUACUUGGUGUUACUGCGAAGGGGGGACGGAGAAGGCUAUGUUGGCCGGGCGACGGUUGUCCCGGUUUAAGCGUGUAGGCUGGUUUUCCAGGCAAAUCCGGAAAAUCAAGGCUGAGGCGUGAUGACGAGGCACUACGGUGCUGAAGCAACAAAUGCCCUGCUUCCAGGAAAAGCCUCUAAGCAUCAGGUAACAUCAAAUCGUACCCCAAACCGACACAGGUGGUCAGGUAGAGAAUACCAAGGCGCUUGAGAGAACUCGGGUGAAGGAACUAGGCAAAAUGGUGCCGUAACUUCGGGAGAAGGCACGCUGAUAUGUAGGUGAAGUCCCUCGCGGAUGGAGCUGAAAUCAGUCGAAGAUACCAGCUGGCUGCAACUGUUUAUUAAAAACACAGCACUGUGCAAACACGAAAGUGGACGUAUACGGUGUGACGCCUGCCCGGUGCCGGAAGGUUAAUUGAUGGGGUCAGCGCAAGCGAAGCUCUUGAUCGAAGCCCCGGUAAACGGCGGCCGUAACUAUAACGGUCCUAAGGUAGCGAAAUUCCUUGUCGGGUAAGUUCCGACCUGCACGAAUGGCGUAAUGAUGGCCAGGCUGUCUCCACCCGAGACUCAGUGAAAUUGAACUCGCUGUGAAGAUGCAGUGUACCCGCGGCAAGACGGAAAGACCCCGUGAACCUUUACUAUAGCUUGACACUGAACAUUGAGCCUUGAUGUGUAGGAUAGGUGGGAGGCUUAGAAGUGUGGACGCCAGUCUGCAUGGAGCCGACCUUGAAAUACCACCCUUUAAUGUUUGAUGUUCUAACG
rnacentral:rRNA from 1 species